UGGGGAAUAUUGCACAAUGGGCGCAAGCCUGAUGCAGCCAUGCCGCGUGUGUGAAGAAGGCCUUCGGGUUGUAAAGCACUUUCAGAGGGGAGGAAGGCGAUAAGGUUAAUAACCUUGUCGAUUGACGUUACCCGCAGAAGAAGCACCGGCUAACUCCGUGCCAGCAGCCGCGGUAAUACGGAGGGUGCAAGCGUUAAUCGGAAUUACUGGGCGUAAAGCGCACGCAGGCGGUCUGUCAAGUCGGAUGUGAAAUCCCCGGGCUUAACCUGGGAACUGCAUUCGAAACUGGCAGGCUAGAGUCUUGUAGAGGGGGGUAGAAUUCCAGGUGUAGCGGUGAAAUGCGUAGAGAUCUGGAGGAAUACCGGUGGCGAAGGCGGCCCCCUGGACAAAGACUGACGCUCAGGUGCGAAAGCGUGGGGAGCAAACAGG
rnacentral:rRNA from 1 species